rnacentral:tRNA from 1 species
GCCGGUGUAGCCCAAUGGUAGGAGGCAGCUGAUUUAAGCCCAGCCCAGUGCAAGUUCGAGUCUUGUCACCGGUA